CAGGGAGACAACAAAAUGUUUAAUAUUAUUAUUUUGUCACCUUAGGUCGAUCGGUAUCUCACGUUCUUAAUUUGUUAAGGAUUUCAUUUCCUAAGUUUUUCUAGGUCACACCCAUUAUUUUUCCUGGGCCAUUAGCUCAGGUGGUUAGAGCGCACCCCUGAUAAGGGUGAGGUCCCUGGUUCAAGUCCAGGAUGGCCCAUAUCUCUAUGUUGGGGGUAUAGCUCAGUUGGUAGAGCGCCUGCUUUGCAAGCAGGAUGUCAGCGGUUCGAGUCCGCUUACCUCCACUGAUUACCACCUCUUCCAUAACUGGUAGAAAGGAAAUGUUUUGAGUUGUGAUUAUUAUUCUGAACGAAUCUAGCUUCCUAAUGAAAUCAUUAAGAUGCUGGACUCAUUGAAUUAAUUUCAUUGUUUUCAGAGAACCUUGACAACUGCAUAGAUUUUUUUAAAGACAAUAAGCAUCUUUAAUGAUGCAGAUUUAUUAUUUGUGCGAAUGCAUUAAUAACAAUUCUAUUAAGCUGAUGCUUCAAUUUUUGAAGUUAUU
rnacentral:tRNA from 1 species